GCCUGGGUGGCUUAUUUGGUUAAGUGUCUGACUUCGGCCCAGAUCAUGAUCUCACAGUCCGUGGGUUUGAACCCCACAUCAGGCU
rnacentral:tRNA from 1 species